GACGAACGCUGGCGGCGUGCUUAACACAUGCAAGUCGAACGGAAAGGCCCUGCUUUUGUGGGGUGCUCGAGUGGCGAACGGGUGAGUAACACGUGAGUAACCUGCCCUUGACUUUGGGAUAACUUCAGGAAACUGGGGCUAAUACCGGAUAGGAGCUCCUGCUGCAUGGUGGGGGUUGGAAAGUUUCGGCGGUUGGGGAUGGACUCGCGGCUUAUCAGCUUGUUGGUGGGGUAGUGGCUUACCAAGGCUUUGACGGGUAGCCGGCCUGAGAGGGUGACCGGCGACAUUGGGACUGAGAUACGGCCCAGACUCCUACGGGAGGCAGCAGUGGGGAAUAUUGCAAAAUGGGCGGAAGCCUGAUGCAGCAACGCCGCGUGCGGGAUGACGGCCUUCGGGUUGUAAACCGCUUUCGCCUGUGACGAAGCGAGAGUGACGGUAAUGGGUAAAGAAGCACCGGCUAACUACGUG
rnacentral:rRNA from 1 species